UCCUUUGUAAUUGGCAGUGGGGCCGUGUCAAUAUCAGGCAGGAGCGGUGUCCAGUGACAGGAAGCUCCACCCAUGUCAGCAGGCUGGACCGGCAUAUGGACUCCCAUACAGAGCUCAACAGAGCACAGAGGAGACGGGCUUUAGAGGAGGUGAAGAGACGUCUGACAAUGGAGAGGCUGGCGGCAUUGAGGGCGUCGGUCCCUGCCAUCCCAGUGGCCACCGAUUUUGAUAUCGUGGAGACUGCGAGGCAAGAAGAAGAGGAGGAUAACUUUUUAGAUACUUUUGCAGAGGAAGAGGAGGAAGAGGGUUGCACUAAUGAUUAUUGCCACUGCCAAGCACCACUUUUGAGGCUGCAGAAAGCUUUGAAAGAGAGGGAUGAGGCCCUGACCAAGAAAAGUGAGACCAUCCAAUCCAUUAGAGAGGACAACCUGAAGCUGAUCUCUGAGCUGCAUAGAGUGAGGAAGAGGUACCAGCUACUGAAAAGGCAGAUGGGGAUUCUCAGGGUGAGUCCGGCAAAGGAGAGGUCGGCAAAGAGGUCCCUCAGCUUUCAGGCCGAGGCAGACACAGCCCAAGAGGAGCUGCAGCUGGACCAAGUGACAGGUUCAGGGGACCAGACAGAGGAGGCUACAGCGUCCGGAUCUGGCAGCAAACUUAUCUUCCCGGGCUCUGCCAUCAGUGUGUUUCUUGAGGGAUUCAGGAAGACCUGUGAGGGCCCCAAUCCAAAUUAUAAGCUAAGGGAAAAUUGUGCCGGAAAGAUCAAAAGGGUGACGCAAUUUUUGAACUACAUGGCGAAGGAUGAGACCUACCCAUCCAAUCUCAUUUUCCUGAUUAACCAUGACAAAAUAAGGGGGUGAAAGACAGCAAGGAAGCCAAGGUGGUUUCCAGAAAGACCCUGCUGGAGUGCCAGUCUCUUGCCAAGGCCAAGAUCCCAGAAGUGCUGAAAACCUUGGAAGAAACAAGGACACAGAAAAAUCAGUACCAGUUUUAUGGAGACCUGUGGGCCUACUUUACCUCCAUAGACGGCCAUAGACCGGGCCUGGAUAAGAACAUGUUGGUGGAGGAGGUGGAGGAGGCUAAAUGUGACCAGUCUGGGAUGUAUCUGAUCAGUGUAGAGGAACACAAAACGAAUAGAGACCAUGGCAUGGUCCAGAUGUCGCUGACAAAGGAUGAGUACACUUGGUUUUCAGACUUCCUCAAAUUCAAGCACUGCCUCCCAGGGGGAAAGAAGUCCCAGCACUUUUUUUUCAAUUCUACAAGCACUCAGCUCAAGAACCUGCCUGCCUACCUGAGGGAGGUGUGGAAGGAGAUGGGUCUGCCUGAAACUCCUACCUUCACUGA